rnacentral:rRNA from 1 species
CAAAAACAUCGCCUCUUGCAAACGAAGAAUAAGAGGUCCCGCCUGCCCUGUGACAAUACGUUUAACGGCCGCGGUAUUUUGACCGUGCGAAGGUAGCGCAAUCACUUGUCUCUUAAAUGGAGACCUGUAUGAAUGGCACAACGAGGGCUUAACUGUCUCCUUUUCCCAGUCAAUGAAAUUGAUCUUCCCGUGCAGAAGCGGGAAUCAGAACAUAAGACGAGAAGACCCUAUGGAGCUUCAGACACCAAGCGAUCAUGUUUAAAGACCCUUACAAAGGAGAGAACUAGAUGACCCCGCCCUAAUGUCUUUGGUUGGGGCGACCGCGGGGCAACAUAAAACCCCCAUGUGGAAUGGGAAAACCUCCCCAGAACCAAGAGCAACGGCUCUAAGCAACAGAACAUCUGACCAUCAAGAUCCGGCAAAGCCGAUCAACGGACCGAGUUACCCUAGGGAUAACAGCGCAAUCCCCUUCUAGAGCCCAUAUCGACAAGGGGGUUUACGACCUCGAUGUUGGAUCAGGACAUCCUAAUGGUGCAGCCGCUAUUAAGGGUUCGUUUGUUCAACGAUUAAAGUCCUACGUGAUCU